UCUUGUAGACUUGGAUUGACUUUCCGAGGCAACUCGGUCGGGAGGACUGCUUAUUGGCUUUCCUUGCAUUUCCAGGCCUACGUUUUUCAUAUACCCCAUUGUAUGUAACAGAAUGUAUCAUUGGGCCCUUGUGCCUAUAAACCUUAUACAACUUUCAGCAACGGAUCUCUUGGCUCUCGCAUCGAUGAAGAACGCAGCGAAAUGCGAUAAGUAAUGUGAAUUGCAGAAUUCAGUGAAUCAUCGAAUCUUUGAACGCACCUUGCGCUCCUUGGUAUUCCGAGGAGCAUGCCUGUUUGAGUGUCAUUAAAUUCUCAACCUUUAUUAGCUUUUGCUGAUAAUGGCUUGGAUAUGGGGGUAUAUUUUGCCGGCUUCUUCACAGAUGGUCAGCUCCCCUUAAAUGCAUUAGCCAGUGCCCCGCGUGGACUGUCUAUUGGUGUGAUAAUUAUCUACGCCGUGGACAUCUGCAAUUAUAUGGGUUUGCACUGCUUCUAACCGUCUGUUCAUUCGGACAAUACAUGACCAUUUGACCUCAAAUCAGGUAGGACUACCCGCUGAACUUAAGCAUAUCAAUAAGCGGAGGAAAAGAAACUAACAAGGAUUCCCCUAGUAACUGCGAGUGAAGCGGGAAAAGCUCAAAUUUAAAAUCUGGCGGUCUCCGGCCGUCCGAGUUGUAAUCUAGAGAAGUGUUAUCCGCGCUGGACCGUGUACAAGUCUCCUGGAAUGGAGCGUCAUAGANGGUGAGAAUCCCGUCUUUGACACGGACUGNCANGGCUUUGUGAUGNGCUCUCAAAGAGUCGAGUUGNUUGGGAAUGCAGCUC
rnacentral:rRNA from 1 species